UUGCCACUACCCUUUUUUGUGCAUUCAGCAUGAGACCAACAUAACUUAGGUGGUUCCUCAACCUUCUUCUUAAGCUCUGCAUAUGAACGAGGAUCAUAACAUUCAUACAUAGGAACAACUGGAUGCCAAGUUAACGCGCAGACACAAUCGCCAUUACAUCCAUAAUCCGGAUUGCAAGGAACACGGAAACAAAAUGCUGCUUCAACUUUCUUCAUUGGGAAUAUCACUGUAAAUGAUAAAGCUAAUUAACGUUUGAACAACAUACACUUAGUCCUAUAGAGGUGUCCGUGCUUCAUAGCUCUUUUUUAUAUCUUUUUAUUUUUCGUUAUCGUUUAUAUAUAUUUUAAAAGAGUCGAACACAAUUCAAACCUUCUAAUUCUGGUGUUUUUUUCACCUUCAAAAUUGGCAUUAGACCAAAGUCUCUGAAGUUUUACUUAACUGUGUCAGAGAAUAAAUCAUAAGGCUUUGUUUGGGAGUUUGGAGGGAAAGAGAAUGGAGGGCUUUGGGGGGUUGGAAAAAUAUAGAAAAAUGGACAAAAAAUUUACAUUUUUUGAAAGAGCAGUUUUUUAGAGAAUGAUAAACUAAUACUUAUGAUUAAUAUACUUUUAAUUUUAAGAAUAUUAUAACAAGAUAGAUUGAAUUUGAAAAAUUCAUAUAAACCCUCUGUAACCCCCCAAAACCCUCCCCCAAUACAAUUUUUGAGUUUCCCCAGAUGAGGGAAAUUUUUUAUUAUGAGUAAAAAAUUAACCUCCAAAGCCCUCUCCUCCCAAUGUCUUCUAUUUCUUCCACUUGCUCCUUCCUUUUUUCGAAACCCUCCCCUCCCCUCCCCUCCAAAUUCCCAAACAAAGCCUAAGGAAAAUAUGACUUCCUCUACUACCUCCGUUUCCAUAAAUGAUUCCAAAAUGAUUCAUAUAUGUCUAGACUACAUAUGACCAGUAGUGAUGUAGAAUAGUUGGCUUGAUGGAAAAACAAACUAUACAGUAUCUGCAUAUACAUGCCACACAUUACUACAAAACUAGUGACGUAAAUUAGUGACAGAAAAAAUAAAUCCCUAACCAAUUUUGUCCUUGCAAAAUUAAGUAAUUUAAUUAGAGAGGAAUUUUAUGUUUUUCAUCUCUUAAUUUUCCUAGAUAAUUUUUGCUUUUUAGAGACCUAUGACGUGGCUUCAAAGUUGAAAGAUAUACUUAAUAAAUUAAUAUUUAGGACAGUGGAUAAUUAAUAAUUGGGAGUAGAUUCCGAUUAAUUUUUCUCAUGAUUUCAAAAAAAUAAGUAGAAAUGCAUGGUAUAUAUAGGUGAGAAAGAUCAUUGAAAUACAUACAGAAUGCGGCAAGCAUAAAGACAGCAAAAGGAGCAAGCUUAACAUAAGUCAUUGUUCUAUCAAAAGAAAGAACCAGCUACAAAAUACUAUUGUUUGUUAAUUAUGAGCUCAACUUUGUAUUGCACUAGUUCAUUUCUUGCAUUCAACAAUUUAUAGACAAAAUAAAAGUUAAUUGCUUAUAAAAAAAAUAAAUAAAUAAUUCAGAAGCGAGGGACACGACGUUAAUUGCUUAUGAAAUAAAUAAAUAAAAAAUAAUUGGUCCCCUCUCAUCAAAGAAAAUCUUCUAUCUGCUUAUCUAUAAUUUAGGGUAGAAAAAACACAAGCUUCUAUGUGGUUGAUAGUAGUUUUGCGUAUAAGGCAUCUAUCCUCAAUGGUGCUGCACCAUCCGGUAAAUGAGCACAAUAAUUACCACUACCCUUUUAUGUGCAUUCAGCAUGAGACCAACAUAAGUUAGGUUGUUCCUCAACCUUCUUCUUAAGCUCUGCAGAUGAACGAGGAGGACCACAUAUAUAUUGAGGAACAACUGGAUGCCAAACGUACUCGCAGACACAAUUGCCAGUACAUCUAAAUGCAUAAUCGCAAGGAACACUGAAACAUAUAGCUGCUUCAACUUUCUUCAUUGGAAAUAUCACUAUAAAUGAUAAAGCUAAUUAAGGUUUGAACAACAUACACAUACCAUUAUUAACAUUAUUAUAAAAAUAAAAUUAGUGACCAAUUUUAAAUUUAAAAAAAAAAACUGAAAUUUAUUACUUCCAUCGCUAAAUUUAGUAGAAAAUGAUUUCAUAUUUUCCCUCACUUAAAUUUUGUGGAUAAUUUAAUUAUUCUCAGCCGAGGACAGAAGCAAAAGCAUAUACAAUCCUUUUUGUAGACAACUUGUUGUUGUAUAUAUCUUUAGAUUGAGAUUAGGAAGUCUUAUCGGUUGAGGCACGGAAAUCUUGGACAAGGUUGUCUUAGUGUCGUUGUAAUCAGAAUUUAAUUACAGUGUUCAAAUCUCUUGGAAGUGCAGGGUGAACCACGAUAAACACUAUGUGUUGUCUCUUUCUCGUAUCUUUGUGUUGUCUCUUUUUCGUAUCUUUUUAUUUUUCACUAUCGUUUAUAUGUGUUUUAAAAGAUAUUUCAAAAAGAGUCAAACACAAUUCAAACCUCCUAAUUCUGGUAUUUUUCUCACCUUCAAUUGGCAUCAGAGCAAGGUCUCUGAAGUUUUACUACUUAACCGUGUAAGAAAAAUCCUAAGAAAAACAAUAUUCGUAUUUAUUUAUAUCUCAACAAACAUACACUAAUUUGUCCUUCCAUCAAAUUCAUAUUACAUUAAGGACAACUUAGUCAAAAAAACUGCUUUACUUUAAUUAACUGCGGAUUUGAUCUUCCAUAGGCAUAGAACGUAACAAAGCUAUGCUUUAAUUAUUACAACAAACCCCACAAUUGUUAUCUUGUACUCUUCUUUUGAAUUAUAAUGAAAUGGUAAUGAGAUUCAAUUGUUCAAAUUUUGAUUCAUCAAUUUACCUCAUUGUAUUAUUGUACAAUUUUCUUGAUUACUUGAAAAUGUUAAAUAGGCUUGGAUCUCAUCCCAAAAGUUAGCUCAAAUGAUGAGGNAAUUCAGAAGCGAGGGACACGACGUUAAUUGCUUAUGAAAUAAAUAAAUAAAAAAUAAUUGGUCCCCUCUCAUCAAAGAAAAUCUUCUAUCUGCUUAUCUAUAAUUUAGGGUAGAAAAAACACAAGCUUCUAUGUGGUUGAUAGUAGUUUUGCGUAUAAGGCAUCUAUCCUCAAUGGUGCUGCACCAUCCGGUAAAUGAGCACAAUAAUUACCACUACCCUUUUAUGUGCAUUCAGCAUGAGACCAACAUAAGUUAGGUUGUUCCUCAACCUUCUUCUUAAGCUCUGCAGAUGAACGAGGAGGACCACAUAUAUAUUGAGGAACAACUGGAUGCCAAACGUACUCGCAGACACAAUUGCCAGUACAUCUAAAUGCAUAAUCGCAAGGAACACUGAAACAUAUAGCUGCUUCAACUUUCUUCAUUGGAAAUAUCACUAUAAAUGAUAAAGCUAAUUAAGGUUUGAACAACAUACACAUACCAUUAUUAACAUUAUUAUAAAAAUAAAAUUAGUGACCAAUUUUAAAUUUAAAAAAAAAAACUGAAAUUUAUUACUUCCAUCGCUAAAUUUAGUAGAAAAUGAUUUCAUAUUUUCCCUCACUUAAAUUUUGUGGAUAAUUUAAUUAUUCUCAGCCGAGGACAGAAGCAAAAGCAUAUACAAUCCUUUUUGUAGACAACUUGUUGUUGUAUAUAUCUUUAGAUUGAGAUUAGGAAGUCUUAUCGGUUGAGGCACGGAAAUCUUGGACAAGGUUGUCUUAGUGUCGUUGUAAUCAGAAUUUAAUUACAGUGUUCAAAUCUCUUGGAAGUGCAGGGUGAACCACGAUAAACACUAUGUGUUGUCUCUUUCUCGUAUCUUUGUGUUGUCUCUUUUUCGUAUCUUUUUAUUUUUCACUAUCGUUUAUAUGUGUUUUAAAAGAUAUUUCAAAAAGAGUCAAACACAAUUCAAACCUCCUAAUUCUGGUAUUUUUCUCACCUUCAAUUGGCAUCAGAGCAAGGUCUCUGAAGUUUUACUACUUAACCGUGUAAGAAAAAUCCUAAGAAAAACAAUAUUCGUAUUUAUUUAUAUCUCAACAAACAUACACUAAUUUGUCCUUCCAUCAAAUUCAUAUUACAUUAAGGACAACUUAGUCAAAAAAACUGCUUUACUUUAAUUAACUGCGGAUUUGAUCUUCCAUAGGCAUAGAACGUAACAAAGCUAUGCUUUAAUUAUUACAACAAACCCCACAAUUGUUAUCUUGUACUCUUCUUUUGAAUUAUAAUGAAAUGGUAAUGAGAUUCAAUUGUUCAAAUUUUGAUUCAUCAAUUUACCUCAUUGUAUUAUUGUACAAUUUUCUUGAUUACUUGAAAAUGUUAAAUAGGCUUGGAUCUCAUCCCAAAAGUUAGCUCAAAUGAUGAGGGUACUCAAGCAUAUUUAUACAUCCAACAGCCUAAGAACUUGAGCGAUAUAGGACAAAUAACAAACUACAAAUAAUUCAAAACCAACUUCAACAAAAACAACAUAUAUUAAUUAAACAACAGGCCUAACAAAAGCAUAAGAUAUGCUGAUGAAAGGAAAACCAUGAACAUACAUCAUUAUUGAAAUUUGGAUGGAUAUUAAGAAACCCAAUUAUUUAAAGUUGUACAUAAAUGCAUAAUAUCGAUAUUAAGCAGGAAGAGACAUCUUCAAGAAGUCUUUUUCGAAUUUCAAGCUAGAGGCCAUCUUGAAUGUGUUUACUGCUUCAGAGAUAGAGGGAAAACACAAGCCAUAUUUGAGAUUGGAAUUAGGAAAACGAGCACAAUAAUUCCCACUACCCUUUUCUGUGCAUUCAGUAUGAGACCAACAUAACUUAGGUUGUUCCUCUACCUUCUUCUUAAGCUCUGCAGAUGAAUGAGGAGUGACACAUUUAAAGUUAAGCCGCGGAGGAAGUGAUGCAAUAAAGGGUUCGCAGUCACAAUCGCCACUACAAUAAAGUCGAGGGUAAGGGCAAUAAGCGCCACAUUUAUCUGCUUCUACUUUCUUCAUUGGGAAUAUCACUGUAAAUGAUAAAGCUAAUUAAGGAUUGAACAAUAUACACAUACCAUUAUUAACAUUAUUAUAAAAAUAAAAUUAGUUACCAAUUUUAGAUUAAAAAAACUGAAAUUUAUGUGUUUUAAUAGCUUUCAAAAAGAGUCAAACACAAUUCAAACCUCUCAAUUUUGGUGUAUUUCUGACCUUUAGUUGGCAUCAGAGCAAAGUCUCUGAAAUUUUACUUAACCGUGUAAGAGAAAUGAUCCUAAGAAAAAUAUAACCUCCGUUACCUCCAUUCCAAAAAGUGAUUCCAAGAAUGAUUCAUAUAUGUCUAGACUACCUAUGAUCAGUAGUGAUGUAGACAGAGACGGAUCUAGACAUUCGGUAUAUGUGUGACUAAAAUUUUAAAAAAAAAUAAUGCAAACAAUAUGAAAAAUAAGAAAUAACAUUGUUUGAUACAAUACAAUUUCAAUGAAAAUGGUCUCCUAUCCAUUUGUUGAAAAUGCGAAAAUAACGGCGCCGCUAAUUUUUAAAAGAACAUUUCUUUCUAUAUAAGUUACAGUAUAAGAUAGUCAUUUAACCACAAAUCACUUAUUUUGUUGCAUAGUUGAUUGUUCACAAUUUUUGUAGCUGAAAAAACACGUUCAACACUUGCAAUUGCUACCCACAAUAGCAACUAACUUAAAAGCUUAUAAACCAUAACAAAUAUGUUGCACUUAUUUGUUUCGUGGGAGAGAGAAAUGUUUUGAUAUAGUUGUAUGUUUUAUUUAUUAAAAAAAAAAAAAAUAAUUGGGGAGUGGAUGUGUGCCUUUAGCCACACAUGGCCACACAAUGCAUCCGCCUCUGGAUGUAGAAGAGUUGGCUUGAUGGAAAAAACAAACUAUACAGUAUCUGCAUAUACAUGCCACACAUUACUAGAAGAAAAAAAACAAAACUAGCGACAUAAAUUAGUGACAAAAAGAAUGAAAUCCCUCACCAAUUUUAUUCUCGCAUAAUUUAGUAACCUAAUUAAAGAGGAAUUUUAUGUUUUUCAUCUCUUAAUUACACUAGCUAAUUUUUGCAUUUUAGUGACCUAUGACGUGGCUUCAAAGUUGAAACAUAUACUUAAUAAAUUAAUAUUUAGGACAGUGGAUAAUUGAUAAUUGGGAGUAGAUUCCGAUUAAUUUUUCUCAUGAUUUCGAAAAAAUAAGUAGAAAUGCAUGGUAUAUAUAUAGGUGAGAAAGAUGGUUGAAAUACAUACAGAAUGCGGCAAGCAAGAAGACAGCCAAAGGAGCUAGCUUAACAUAAGUCAUUGUUCUAUCAAAAGAAAGAACCAGCUACAAAAUACUAUUGUUUGUAUUGCACUAGUUCAUUUCUUGCAUUCAACAAUUUAUAGACAAAAUAAAAGUUAAUUGCUUAUAAAAAAAAUAAAUAAAAAAUUCAGAAGCGAGGGACACGACGUUAAUUGCUUAUGAAAUAAAUAAAUAAAAAAUAAUUGGUCCCCUCUCAUCAAAGAAAAUCUUCUAUCUGCUUAUCUAUAAUUUAGGGUAGAAAAAACACAAGCUUCUAUGUGGUUGAUAGUAGUUUUGCGUAUAAGGCAUCUAUCCUCAAUGGUGCUGCACCAUCCGGUCAAAUGACCGUGCCAUGUAAAUUGUAUCUGCAUGUCUCAAGUGCAGUUAAAUAAUCUAUCUUCAGAGAUUACAAUCGUGAUUCUAUCAUAUUUAACACAAAGUUGAAGUAGUUAACUCAAGAGAAUGUUGUAGACAUUGUGUGUCAAGGAUUUUGAUCGCAAAGUGGAUCUAUUAUUCAACAAAUACAUUUUCCUUUAGAUUAACAAUAGUCUUCCAUGGCCAAUUCCAUACAGCGGAUGAUCUUCCAUGAAAAUUUCGAUUAUGGAUCUUGCCUUAAUUUCUGCUAAGAAUCUCAUAUCGGAUAGGUGAUGGCCUGAUAAUGUGUUUAUAAGUGGGGGCAAUCCUCACCUCAUAAGCCGGUUCUGUACCAGUCUUGAUAGGAACAAAAUGCGCUGACUUCGUCAACCGAUCAACAAUCACCCAAAUCGAAUCGAAACCCUUACUAGUCUUAGGCAACGCUCCAACAAAAUCCAUAGAAAUGCUAUCCCACUUCCACUCUGGCACAAACAACGGUUGCAUCAAACCCGACGGUCUCUGAUGUUCAAUCUUCGAUUUCUGACAAACCAAACAAGCAUAAACAAACUCAGCAAUCUCCUUCUUCAUUCCAGGCCACCAAAACAACCUUUUCAAAUCCUGAUACAUCUUAGUUGCUCCUGGAUGAAUACUCAAACUACUUCUAUGACCUUCGUCCAAAAUUUGCCUCUUAAGCUCAAACACAUCCGGCACACAAACUCGAUCACGAAACAUCAAAACACCAGUCUCACCCAAUCUAAAGUCUCCACCUUUUCCUUGAUUAACCAACGUCACUCGAUUCACGAGUUCCAAAUCUUCCUUCUGACCAUUCUUGAUCUCUUCCAAAAUAUUGCUUGUCAACUUCAACAUACCCAACCUCACACCAUCAGGUGUCAACUCACUAACCAAACUCAAGUCUCGAAACUGCUCAAUCAAUUCCAACUCUUUAACCAUCAAAGCAGACAUAUGCAAAGUCUUUCUACUCAAAGCAUCCGCAACAACAUUAGCCUUUCCGGGAUGAUAACUCAACUGAAAAUCAAAAUCCUUAAGAUAUUCCAACCAUCUUCUCUGCCUCAUAUUCAACUCUUUCUGAUCAAACAAAUACUUCAAACUCUUGUGGUCACUGAACACCUCAAACUUAGAACCAUACAGAUAAUGUCUCCAAAUCUUCAAUGUAUACACAACGGCUGCCAAUUCCAAAUCAUGAGUCGGAUAAUUCUUCUCAUGCACUUUCAAUUGCCUCGAAGCAUAAGCUACAACCUGACGAUUCUGCAUAAGCACACCACCAAGACCCAUCUUAGAAGCAUCACAAUACACAACAAACGAUUCCUUCGGAUUCGGCAAAAUCAACACCGGAGCUGAAGUCAACCUCUUCUUCAACUCUUGGAAACUCUUCUCACACUUGGCAUCCCAAACAUAAGCCUGUCCUUUCCGAGUCAACUGCGUCAAUGGCAACGCCAACUUAGAGAAUCCCUCAAUGAACCUCCGAUAAUAACCGGCCAAACCAAGAAAGCUUCUAAUCUCAAAAACAGACUUAGGAGACUCCCACUGCAACACUGCAUCAACCUUGGAAGGAUCCACAGAAAUACCACCCUUAGAAAUCACAUGACCAAGGAAACUCACUUCCUUCAACCAAAACUCACACUUAGACAACUUGGCACACAACUGGUUCUCUUUCAAGACUUGCAACACAAUCCUCAAAUGCUCAGCAUGCUCUUCCUCAGACUUUGAAUACACCAAAAUAUCAUCUAUGAACACCACCACAAAACGGUCCAGAUAAGGAUGAAAUAUUCUAUUCAUGUAUUCCAUAAAGACACCUGGUGCAUUAGAUACUCCAAAUGGCAUCACAGAAUACUCAUAGUGUCCAUACCUCGUUCGGAACGCAGUUUUGGAUAUAUCUUCCGCCUUUACUCUAAUCUGAUGAUAUCCUGAUCUCAAAUCAAUCUUACUAAACACCUCUGCACCCACUAGCUGAUCCAUCAAAUCAUCAAUCCUUGGAAGUGGAUACCGAUUCUUAAUCGUCACCUUGUUCAACUGUCGAUAAUCCACACACAACCUCAUGCUUCCAUCUUUCUUCUUAACCAACAACACUGGAGCACCCCACGGUGAAACACUCGGUCUAAUAAACUGCUUCUCAAGCAACUCUUCCAACUGAUUCUUCAAUUCACCCAACUCCGAUGCAGACAUCCGAUACGGCGCAAUCGAAAUAGGACUCGUGCCUGGUACCAAAUCAAUUGCAAACUCAACUUCCCUCUCCGGCGGUAACUCGGUAAUAUCCUCUGGAAAAACCUCAGGAAACUCUUGCACUACCGGCAAAUCACUAACCCCUUUCUCACCACCAACCUUCAAAGAUGCAAACAUCAUAAACACACAAGCCUCACCAUCUAAAGACUUCUUCACUUGCUCCGCGGUCAAAAACUUCCUAUCUAACUCUUCUACCGGCUUAGAAAAAGUCACACUCCUAGUCAAACAAUUAAUGCUAACCCCAAAAGCUAACAACCAAUCCAUACCAAAAAUAACAUCCAUAUGCUUCAACGGAAGACAAACAAGAUCCAACUCAAAAUCAACAUCACCAAAAUUAACAGAACACUUAACACAAACCACAACCAACUGAGCCUCCGCAACCAAGAUAUGUUCCCUUGCCAGACUAACACAAACCACUAACCGAUAAGAAAACAACACAACAGAGCAAGUGCCGAAGGUACUAAACUACCAUUCGCCCACAACAGGGAAAAACAACAAAGAUUAAUCUAAACACGACUGACCAUGGCUCUGAUACCAACUUGUAACACUCUUAUUUCUAUUAAAGCAAUUAAACAUACGAAUAAUACAUUUAUUCAAGAAAUAGAGGCUACGCCACAUUCAAAAUUCAAAAAAAAUCAAUAAACAUGUAUAUAAACCUCAACAGUCGCAGCGGAAUAUAAACCAGAGUAAUCCAAAUAUACACGUUAUGAAUAAUAAAUUACAUCAACAUAGAUGCAUCUCAAAAAUCCCAACAAACGGGUAAUCUCCAAACAUAACAAAAAUCCAAAAUAAAAGAUAAUCUAGACCGACACAACUAAGCCUAGAUCAGAGCCGACUAAACAUCUAAACACCGAUAUCGGAGAAAGCUCUCGAUAUCCACCAAGCACAAAACUCAACAAGCAUCUAAACCUGCACAACAUCUACCCAUCCAUACAGAUAGGCAGGCGGUCCAUAACAGAUCCACUGGGUGUAAGUAUUACAUUAUCAUAAUCCAAAUAACAGUUAACAUGAAUAUUUCAAUUUAAACAUCAUGCACUUGAUCAAUAAUAAUAUUCUCAUAUCAAUACUUACAUCAAAUCCCAAUAUCUCACAUUAAUAAUCAUCAAUCACAUGUGUCAUGAACAAAUAUCAAUUCACAUUUAUUCAUACACAAUCACCAAUCAUAUACAUCAUGAACAAUCAUUAAUCACACACAUUUCAUGAACAAUCGUUAAUCACAAUUCAUGAACAAUCACCAAUCAUAUUCCAUGAACAAUCACCAAUCAUAUUCCAUGAACAUUCAUUAAUCACAUUUCAUGGACAAUCAUCAAUCACAUGUGUCAAACAUCAAUUCACAAUUAUUCACACAUACUCACCAAUCACCAAUCACAUUUUCAAAUAUGACUCAUGUCAUGAUAUGCACUUAUUGACACAUAAAUGCAUGUGGUACCAAAUCUCCAAAAGGUCGUCACCUCCAAAUCCAGAUCUCAAAAGAUCUCUGCCAGGCCGAAGCCCUAUAACGAAUAAAACAUCGUAUCCAGAUCUCAAAAGAUCUCUGCNAUGGUAAUGAGAUUCAAUUGUUCAAAUUUUGAUUCAUCAAUUUACCUCAUUGUAUUAUUGUACAAUUUUCUUGAUUACUUGAAAAUGUUAAAUAGGCUUGGAUCUCAUCCCAAAAGUUAGCUCAAAUGAUGAGGGUACUCAAGCAUAUUUAUACAUCCAACAGCCUAAGAACUUGAGCGAUAUAGGACAAAUAACAAACUACAAAUAAUUCAAAACCAACUUCAACAAAAACAACAUAUAUUAAUUAAACAACAGGCCUAACAAAAGCAUAAGAUAUGCUGAUGAAAGGAAAACCAUGAACAUACAUCAUUAUUGAAAUUUGGAUGGAUAUUAAGAAACCCAAUUAUUUAAAGUUGUACAUAAAUGCAUAAUAUCGAUAUUAAGCAGGAAGAGACAUCUUCAAGAAGUCUUUUUCGAAUUUCAAGCUAGAGGCCAUCUUGAAUGUGUUUACUGCUUCAGAGAUAGAGGGAAAACACAAGCCAUAUUUGAGAUUGGAAUUAGGAAAACGAGCACAAUAAUUCCCACUACCCUUUUCUGUGCAUUCAGUAUGAGACCAACAUAACUUAGGUUGUUCCUCUACCUUCUUCUUAAGCUCUGCAGAUGAAUGAGGAGUGACACAUUUAAAGUUAAGCCGCGGAGGAAGUGAUGCAAUAAAGGGUUCGCAGUCACAAUCGCCACUACAAUAAAGUCGAGGGUAAGGGCAAUAAGCGCCACAUUUAUCUGCUUCUACUUUCUUCAUUGGGAAUAUCACUGUAAAUGAUAAAGCUAAUUAAGGAUUGAACAAUAUACACAUACCAUUAUUAACAUUAUUAUAAAAAUAAAAUUAGUUACCAAUUUUAGAUUAAAAAAACUGAAAUUUAUGUGUUUUAAUAGCUUUCAAAAAGAGUCAAACACAAUUCAAACCUCUCAAUUUUGGUGUAUUUCUGACCUUUAGUUGGCAUCAGAGCAAAGUCUCUGAAAUUUUACUUAACCGUGUAAGAGAAAUGAUCCUAAGAAAAAUAUAACCUCCGUUACCUCCAUUCCAAAAAGUGAUUCCAAGAAUGAUUCAUAUAUGUCUAGACUACCUAUGAUCAGUAGUGAUGUAGACAGAGACGGAUCUAGACAUUCGGUAUAUGUGUGACUAAAAUUUUAAAAAAAAAUAAUGCAAACAAUAUGAAAAAUAAGAAAUAACAUUGUUUGAUACAAUACAAUUUCAAUGAAAAUGGUCUCCUAUCCAUUUGUUGAAAAUGCGAAAAUAACGGCGCCGCUAAUUUUUAAAAGAACAUUUCUUUCUAUAUAAGUUACAGUAUAAGAUAGUCAUUUAACCACAAAUCACUUAUUUUGUUGCAUAGUUGAUUGUUCACAAUUUUUGUAGCUGAAAAAACACGUUCAACACUUGCAAUUGCUACCCACAAUAGCAACUAACUUAAAAGCUUAUAAACCAUAACAAAUAUGUUGCACUUAUUUGUUUCGUGGGAGAGAGAAAUGUUUUGAUAUAGUUGUAUGUUUUAUUUAUUAAAAAAAAAAAAAAUAAUUGGGGAGUGGAUGUGUGCCUUUAGCCACACAUGGCCACACAAUGCAUCCGCCUCUGGAUGUAGAAGAGUUGGCUUGAUGGAAAAAACAAACUAUACAGUAUCUGCAUAUACAUGCCACACAUUACUAGAAGAAAAAAAACAAAACUAGCGACAUAAAUUAGUGACAAAAAGAAUGAAAUCCCUCACCAAUUUUAUUCUCGCAUAAUUUAGUAACCUAAUUAAAGAGGAAUUUUAUGUUUUUCAUCUCUUAAUUACACUAGCUAAUUUUUGCAUUUUAGUGACCUAUGACGUGGCUUCAAAGUUGAAACAUAUACUUAAUAAAUUAAUAUUUAGGACAGUGGAUAAUUGAUAAUUGGGAGUAGAUUCCGAUUAAUUUUUCUCAUGAUUUCGAAAAAAUAAGUAGAAAUGCAUGGUAUAUAUAUAGGUGAGAAAGAUGGUUGAAAUACAUACAGAAUGCGGCAAGCAAGAAGACAGCCAAAGGAGCUAGCUUAACAUAAGUCAUUGUUCUAUCAAAAGAAAGAACCAGCUACAAAAUACUAUUGUUUGUUAAUUAUGAGCUCAACUUUGUAUUGCACUAGUUCAUUUCUUGCAUUCAACAAUUUAUAGACAAAAUAAAAGUUAAUUGCUUAUAAAAAAAAUAAAUAAAUAAUUCAGAAGCGAGGGACACGACGUUAAUUGCUUAUGAAAUAAAUAAAUAAAAAAUAAUUGGUCCCCUCUCAUCAAAGAAAAUCUUCUAUCUGCUUAUCUAUAAUUUAGGGUAGAAAAAACACAAGCUUCUAUGUGGUUGAUAGUAGUUUUGCGUAUAAGGCAUCUAUCCUCAAUGGUGCUGCACCAUCCGGUAAAUGAGCACAAUAAUUACCACUACCCUUUUAUGUGCAUUCAGCAUGAGACCAACAUAAGUUAGGUUGUUCCUCAACCUUCUUCUUAAGCUCUGCAGAUGAACGAGGAGGACCACAUAUAUAUUGAGGAACAACUGGAUGCCAAACGUACUCGCAGACACAAUUGCCAGUACAUCUAAAUGCAUAAUCGCAAGGAACACUGAAACAUAUAGCUGCUUCAACUUUCUUCAUUGGAAAUAUCACUAUAAAUGAUAAAGCUAAUUAAGGUUUGAACAACAUACACAUACCAUUAUUAACAUUAUUAUAAAAAUAAAAUUAGUGACCAAUUUUAAAUUUAAAAAAAAAAACUGAAAUUUAUUACUUCCAUCGCUAAAUUUAGUAGAAAAUGAUUUCAUAUUUUCCCUCACUUAAAUUUUGUGGAUAAUUUAAUUAUUCUCAGCCGAGGACAGAAGCAAAAGCAUAUACAAUCCUUUUUGUAGACAACUUGUUGUUGUAUAUAUCUUUAGAUUGAGAUUAGGAAGUCUUAUCGGUUGAGGCACGGAAAUCUUGGACAAGGUUGUCUUAGUGUCGUUGUAAUCAGAAUUUAAUUACAGUGUUCAAAUCUCUUGGAAGUGCAGGGUGAACCACGAUAAACACUAUGUGUUGUCUCUUUCUCGUAUCUUUGUGUUGUCUCUUUUUCGUAUCUUUUUAUUUUUCACUAUCGUUUAUAUGUGUUUUAAAAGAUAUUUCAAAAAGAGUCAAACACAAUUCAAACCUCCUAAUUCUGGUAUUUUUCUCACCUUCAAUUGGCAUCAGAGCAAGGUCUCUGAAGUUUUACUACUUAACCGUGUAAGAAAAAUCCUAAGAAAAACAAUAUUCGUAUUUAUUUAUAUCUCAACAAACAUACACUAAUUUGUCCUUCCAUCAAAUUCAUAUUACAUUAAGGACAACUUAGUCAAAAAAACUGCUUUACUUUAAUUAACUGCGGAUUUGAUCUUCCAUAGGCAUAGAACGUAACAAAGCUAUGCUUUAAUUAUUACAACAAACCCCACAAUUGUUAUCUUGUACUCUUCUUUUGAAUUAUAAUGAAAUGGUAAUGAGAUUCAAUUGUUCAAAUUUUGAUUCAUCAAUUUACCUCAUUGUAUUAUUGUACAAUUUUCUUGAUUACUUGAAAAUGUUAAAUAGGCUUGGAUCUCAUCCCAAAAGUUAGCUCAAAUGAUGAGGGUACUCAAGCAUAUUUAUACAUCCAACAGCCUAAGAACUUGAGCGAUAUAGGACAAAUAACAAACUACAAAUAAUUCAAAACCAACUUCAACAAAAACAACAUAUAUUAAUUAAACAACAGGCCUAACAAAAGCAUAAGAUAUGCUGAUGAAAGGAAAACCAUGAACAUACAUCAUUAUUGAAAUUUGGAUGGAUAUUAAGAAACCCAAUUAUUUAAAGUUGUACAUAAAUGCAUAAUAUCGAUAUUAAGCAGGAAGAGACAUCUUCAAGAAGUCUUUUUCGAAUUUCAAGCUAGAGGCCAUCUUGAAUGUGUUUACUGCUUCAGAGAUAGAGGGAAAACACAAGCCAUAUUUGAGAUUGGAAUUAGGAAAACGAGCACAAUAAUUCCCACUACCCUUUUCUGUGCAUUCAGUAUGAGACCAACAUAACUUAGGUUGUUCCUCUACCUUCUUCUUAAGCUCUGCAGAUGAAUGAGGAGUGACACAUUUAAAGUUAAGCCGCGGAGGAAGUGAUGCAAUAAAGGGUUCGCAGUCACAAUCGCCACUACAAUAAAGUCGAGGGUAAGGGCAAUAAGCGCCACAUUU
rnacentral:lncRNA from 1 species